rnacentral:rRNA from 1 species
CCUUUGGAGGGUUUGAUCCUGGCUCAGAGUGAACGCUGGCGGCGUGGAUUAGGCAUGCAAGUCGAGCGAUCGAUUUUAUGAAGCAAAUGAAUUCUUCGGAAGGAUUUUGUGAAUUAAUUUUGAUAGCGGCAAACGGGUGAGUAACACGUGGGUGAUCUGCCCUAGAGAGGAGGAUAGCUUCGAGAAAUCGGAGGUAAUACUCCAUACAGUCCUGCUAUUAAUUUAGCAGGAUGAAAGAUGGCUUAGGACUUCGGUCCGCUGUCACUUUAGGAGGAGCCCGCGGCCUAUCAGGUAGUUGGUAGAAUAAGAGCCUACCAAGCCAAAGACGGGUAGCUGGCAUUAGCGUGUGGUCAGCCACAUCGGGACUGAGACACUGCCCGGACUCCUACGGGAGGCUGCAGUCGAGAAUCUUUCCCAAUGGGCGAAAGCCUGAGGAUGCGACG